UUGAAAAGGAUCGGUUGGAAGACU
rnacentral:miRNA from 1 species